rnacentral:tRNA from 1 species
UCCCUGGUGGUCCAGUGGUUAAGACUCUGUGCUUCCAUCGCAGGGGGCAUGGGUUGGAUCCCUGUUCAGGGAA